UCGAUAUUAUAUAUUGGCUCUACAACAUU
rnacentral:sRNA from 1 species